GACGAACGCUGGCGGCGUGCUUAACACAUGCAAGUCGAGCGGUAAGGCCCUUUCGGGGGUACACGAGCGGCGAACGGGUGAGUAACACGUGGGUGACCUGCCCUCAGCUCUGGGAUAAGCCUGGGAAACCGGGUCUAAUACCGGAUAUGACUCCAUGACGCAUGUUGUGGGGUGGAAAGCCUUGUGCGGCUGAGGAUGGGCCCGCGGCCUAUCAGCUUGUUGGUGGGGUGAUGGCCUACCAAGGCGACGACGGGUAGCCGGCCUGAGAGGGCGACCGGCCACACUGGGACUGAGACACGGCCCAGACACCUACGGGUGGCAGCAGUCGAGAAUUUUUCUCAAUGGGGGAAACCUUGAAGGAGCGACGCCGCGUGGAGGAUGAAGGCUUUCGGGUUGUAAACUCCUGUCAUUUGAGAACAAGUGCCAACAAGUAACUACUGUUGGUCUUAAUAGUAUCAGAAGAGGAAGGGACGGGCUAACUCUGUGCCAGCCGCCGCUGU
rnacentral:rRNA from 1 species